rnacentral:misc_RNA from 1 species
CACGUCAUCCCACCUGGGGAGUACGCUCGCAAGAGUGAAACUCAAAUGAAUUGACGGGGGCCCGCACAAGCGGUGGAGCAUGUGGUUUAAUUCGACGCAACGCGAAGAACCUUACCUACUCUUGACAUCCUGAGAACUUUCUAGAGAUAGAUUGGUGCCUUCGGGAGCUCAGUGACAGGUGCUGCAUGGCUGUCGUCAGCUCGUGUCGUGAGAUGUUGGGUUAAGUCCCGUAACGAGCGCAACCCUUGUCCUUAGUUGCCAUCAGGUUAUGCUGGGAACUCUAAGGAGACUGCCGGUGACAAACCGGAGGAAGGUGGGGAUGACGUGUGCGUAACAGAA